rnacentral:lncRNA from 1 species
ACCAAUUCUGUUUCCUGUUUUAUUAUGGUCUAGUUAAUGUGGACCUAAGAUGGGUUCGUCUGGAGUUGAAAUUGUUUGUUUAUGGUGAAUGCAAUGUAAAGGGACAUAUGGUCAAUGGAAAAGCUAUGAUCUUUUGGUGUCGCUGUCUUAAUCCUCAGUUAUUCUAAGAGAGGGUGGUUAUUUUGUCGUCUUUUUGGGCCAUGGUGGCUGUUAUAAUCUGAUUAUGGUGUGUAGAGAUCAUUGAAGGCAGAUUUUCAAGGAUCAUUCCUGGAAGCAUUUGAAGAUUUUCAUUUUUUAGCCAAUGAUAUAUGAUGAUCAGAUUUUCUGUUUGUCACAAUCUACUUAUUACGAGGUAUAUUGAAACACGGUGAUUAUCUAUGUAAAAAGUGAAUAUAUAAAUGCUUUCGUGGUCCAUUCAGCUUGACAGAGAGGGAGGAUCAUUUCUGAACCUUGUUGUAACCAUGUUCGUGGGAGAGAUCAGUGUAGUUCUCUUCUAUUGUGCCGGGCAGUUGUGCAGUUUGAGUACGACAGUUAGAGAUUAUUCAAGGCAGAGUGUUGAGCAAG